AUGUUGCUUUCAGUCUCUCAGAUUCUCUCUUUAUUCUCCAGUACAAAUUCUCUAAUAUCCAUGUUUCUUCAGAGGAAGAGCAGUUCUCCAGAGACGGAGGAGAAAGUGAAGAGGUUGAGGAAGAAGAACACCGAACUCGCUGUCAUCGCCAAACGUUUGGAGGAGAGAGCGCGGAAACUACAGGAAGCCAACCUGAAAGUGGUGCGUGCACAAUUAUACACGGGCGCUGUGGAGCAGUACAAGCGUGCGUUUGCCCGUCAGAGAGCCAGAGACCUGGCGCAGCACGCAGACACACUGCUGUGUAAAGACAAACAGAUCGCAGCGCUGCAGCAGGAGUGCAGACAGCUGGAGACACGGCUGGGACAGGGGAAGGGUCCUGUGGGAGUCAGUGAGUUUGAGCGUCUCCUGAAGGAGUCUCAGAAGGAGGUGUUGCGUCUGCAGAGGCAGCUGUCUGUCACCUCCACCAGAGACCAGAGCAGUGUGACGGCAGAAAACCCUUCAGAGAAUCAGGGCCGAGACAGCAGGGUGAGAGCAAAAACACGCCCAUGUUUCCCAACACUGAGCAAAAACAUCAGCAUCUCUGAUGAAAGUGAGUUGGGCAAGAAGAGGAAAGAAUGUGAAGUUCUUGAGCAUGAGGUGCGGAAGAGACAGAAACGAUGUCUUGAUUUGGAGAACCAGCUAGUGGACGAGCACAGCAGAAAUGAGCACUUAGUGGAGGAGGCAGAACUCCUCAGGAGAAAGUCGCAGGCUGAAAAUGAGGAGCUAAAGGAACAGCUCUGUGUUUUGAACGCUCAGCAUAGUUCAGUUCUGGAGGAGAACCAGCGACUCCGUGCAAAGCUGGAGAACCUAGAGCAGGUCCUAAAGCACAUGCGAGACGUCGCCGAGCGCAGGCAGCAGCUGGAAUUGGAGCAUGAGCAGGCACUGGCUAUCCUCAAGUUCAAACAGGAUGAAAUCAAGCGACUCCAGCGGGCUCAAUUAUUUGCUAAAAGAGAACAUGAAGGUGUCGUGCAGAUGCUGGAGGUGAGUUUUACAUCUCAUUGCUUUGCAAAAGUUCGUGAGCUGGAGGAGAAAUGCCGCAGUCAGAGCGAGCAGUUCGGGAUGCUGUCACAGGAACUGGACAAAUUCAGGGUUCAGGCCUCAAAGAUCGACCUGUCGGACCCCAGCCCGACCCAGCUGACCAAUGGGGUCGGCCUGUCCGGUGAGACUAAAAUACCGAUCAUUACACGACACAUAACAGAUGUCCCUACGCCACCCAGAUCUGAGACAACUCACCUUUCUCCCAAAUCUGCCAGCCCCCGAAAGGUGGACACUGCUAGUGAAGUUGAGGAGCUGGAUAUUGAUGUUUCUCCGGCGCUGUAUUCAGUCAGUAAAGGAGCAGCGAAACUCCAGGUCUUCAUCGCACGGUACAGUUACAAUCCCUAUGAUGGUCCUAAUGAUAACCCAGAGGUCGAGUUGCCCCUCACAGCAGGAGAGUACAUUUACGUCUACGGAGACAUGGAUGAUGAUGGCUUUUAUGAGGGCGAGCUGAUGGACGGCAGAAGAGGCCUCGUUCCCUCCAACUUUGUGGAGCGCGUGUCAGAUGAUGACUUCAUGAGCUCACACCCUCACCAGGCUGGCGAUAUGUCCCAUAAUUCCAUCCAGGAGAGCAGCUUCCACAGCGGCAGCGAGCGGCUGCACCAACACCACUUACGCUUCGCCCACAGCGCCUCCGAGAGGACGGAGACCUCCACGACAGCCUCGGCUCCUGAGGAGGUUGGGGUGGACACUGUGCCUUACCCUCGCAAGCUAGCGCUAAUCAAGCAGUUAGCCAAGAGUGUCAUCAUCGGCUGGGAGUCUCCGCUGGUCCCGGCCGGCUGGGGUUCUGUGUUUAGCUAUAAUGUCUACAUAGACCAUGAGUUGCGACACAACGUGCCAUUUGGUACCCAAACGAAGGCUGUUCUGGAGAGGCUAGAUUUGGCACAGAAGGCGUAUCGGAUUGCGGUGCAGUGCCUCACGGAGCGAGGCAACUCGGAUCAGCUGCGUUGCAGUAUACUAGUCGGACGGGACGUGAACGUAGCGCCGACUCACCUGUGCGUUGAACGCAUAACGGCUACCUCGGCCAGCCUAACCUGGCUGCCUAGCAACAGUAACUAUGUGCACAUUGUGUCUUUAAACGACGAGGAGUGUGAGCUGGUAAAGGCGGGAUGCUAUUCACUGUGCCUCAGCAACCUCACACCCAACAUGCAUUACAACGUUAAAGUGGAGGCCAGGCCGCACCGCACAGCCUGGGAACUACCGCCGGAGUGCCGAGAACGCAAAACCGCAGUGACCUCUUUCACAACCCAGACUGCAGGUCCUCCUGAUGCUCCUCUGGAUGUGCAGUUGGAGCAGGGCCCAUCUCCGGGAAUAGCUCAGAUCAGCUGGCUGCCCGUUACUAUAGAUGCUGCUGGGACGUCCAAUGGUGUACGAGUCACUGGCUACACCAUCUACGCUGACAAGAAGAAGGUAUUAGAGGUGUCGUCACCCACAGCAGGCAGCGCUCUGAUUGGUCCAUCUCAGAUCCAAACAUUACAGGCGGCCCGUGAGCUCACCGUGCGGACCAUGUCAGCUUUUGGUGAGUCAGUGGACUCAUUGCCGGUGAAUGUGCCCGCCAAAUUGCCUGCCAUCAUGUCCGGUGCCUCAUUGCCUCAAUGCCAGUCUGUGCCAGCCACCGCCAGUGUCCUCACGGCCAGUGCCAACCCAGAUCCUUCUAGUGUGGCUCCUGCUGUGCAGAACCCAAGCAGAGAGACAGACAGCCCAGGAGGCCUGCGUCCUGUUGCCUCCCUCUCCGACUUCUUGGAGGACCCACGUGCCAAACUUCACACACCACCACCACCCAGUUCCACCUUUUUAGCCAUACUUGUCAUUUACGUUCUUCUGUUCUUAUAUUUCCUAUGUUGCAUUUUAAUUUUCUUGUUUCUUUUCCUUGUUUUGUUCUAUUUUCCACUUUUGACACCAAUCAAACCUUUGCCUCCUCUGUAUGUUCUCGAUCUUUCACCUUGCUCGUUUUCUACUCUGUCUGCAUUGUGGGAACCUGACAGCGAUGAAGAAAUUUUGGAGAGGAUUAUAAAGCUCCCCCCUCAAGCCUACCGCAACAAGCAGCUCUUUAGCAUCCCAGAAGUCACGGACGAAGAAGACAACACUGAAUCUGAACCCCACACUAGGUCUUCCCCAGGCCGGACUACUUCUGGCAAGGGCCGCCAGAGUGGACAUGAGGGUCGUCGACAUUCCCCCCACCAUCGCAAUCAGGGACAUAAAAUGGAAUCUGAUUCACCCAUAGUGAGGUACAAAGGGACUGUGCCAGUCAGGACUAGACCCAGAGUGCACUACGCUGACACGGUGGACACCAUCAACUAUCUGGAUGAGGAGGAGGUGGAUUUGUGUUUGCUCUUUGGUGUUGCAGAGCCCAGAGCAUCUGGAGAAAAUGAGGUGAGAGUCUUUGUUGCCCUCUUCCCAUAUGAUCCUGCAGUCAUGUCACCCAAUCCUGAUGCUGCUGAAGAAGAGCUUCCCUUUAAAGAAGGCCAGAUUAUCAAGGUUUAUGGGGACAAAGAUGCAGAUGGUUUCUACUGGGGUGAGGCGGGUGGCCAUCGUGGCUAUGUGCCGUGUAAUAUGGUUUCAGAGAUCCAGGUUGAUGAUGAGGAGACCAGAGACCAGCUCCUGAUGCAGGGCUUCCUCUCCACAGAGGCUUCAAUGGAUAAGAUAGGUCUUCCACGCCGUCCCGCUGCACCGCCGAAACCUAGACGCUCCAAGAAAGGUGUGUGUCAGCGCUCGCUGUCUCCUCCUGCUCUCCGAGAUUUCACCUGCGUUUGCUCCAGACCUCGCAGGAUGGUGGCCAUCUUUGACUACGACCCGAGAGAGAGUUCUCCCAAUGCAGACAUAGAGGCUGAACUGACCUUCAGCACGGGCGACAUCAUCUAUGUGUUCGGUGACAUGGAAGAUGACGGCUUCUACUAUGUGAGUUUCUUUCGUGCCUGUCUGUCUGUUAGUAUAUUCAUAAUAAAUAGGAGUUUUGUGCAAUGA
ensembl:lncRNA